GACGAACGCUGGCGGCGUGCUUAACACAUGCAAGUCGAACGGAAAGGCCCUGCUUUUGUGGGGUGCUCGAGUGGCGAACGGGUGAGUAACACGUGAGUAACCUGCCCUUGACUUUGGGAUAACUUCAGGAAACUGGGGCUAAUACCGGAUAGGAGCUCCUGCUGCAUGGUGGGGGUUGGAAAGUUUCGGCGGUUGGGGAUGGACUCGCGGCUUAUCAGCUUGUUGGUGGGGUAGUGGCUUACCAAGGCUUUGACGGGUAGCCGGCCUGAGAGGGUGACCGGCCACAUUGGGACUGAGAUACGGCCCAGACUCCUACGGGGGGCAGCAGUGGGGAAUAUUGCACAAUGGGCGGAAGCCUGAUGCAGCAACGCCGCGUGCGGGAUGACGGACUUCGGGUUGUAAACCGCUUUCGCCUGUGACGAAGCGUGAGUGACGGUAAUGGGUAAAGAAGCACCGGCUAACUACGUG
rnacentral:rRNA from 1 species